rnacentral:rRNA from 1 species
UACGGAGGAUGCGAGCGUUAUCCGGAUUUAUUGGGUUAAAAGGGUGCGCAGGCGGCACGGCAAGCCGGCGGUCAAAUCGCGGGGCUCAACCCCGCCCAGCCGUCGGAACUGCCGGGCUAGAGUGGGCGAGAAGUGCGCGGAAUGCGUGGUGUAGCGGUGAAAUGCAUAGAUAUCACGCAGAACUCCGAUUGCGAAGGCAGCGCACCGGCGCCCUACUGACGCUCAGGCACGAAAGCGUGGGUAUCGAACAGG